rnacentral:rRNA from 1 species
GCGAGCGGCGGAUGGGUGAGUAACACGUGGGGAACCUGCCCCUAAGUCUGGGAUACCAUUUGGAAACAGGUGCUAAUACCGGAUAAUAAAGCAGAUCGCAUGAUCAGCUUUUGAAAGGCGGCGUAAGCUGUCGCUAAGGGAUGGCCCCGCGGUGCAUUAGCUAGUUGGUAAGGUAACGGCUUACCAAGGCGACGAUGCAUAGCCGAGUUGAGAGACUGAUCGGCCACAUUGGGACUGAGACACGGCCCAAACUCCUACGGGAGGCAGCAGUAGGGAAUCUUCCACAAUGGACGCAAGUCUGAUGGAGCAACGCCGCGUGAGUGAAGAAGGUUUUCGGAUCGUAAAGCUCUGUUGUUGGUGAAGAAGGAUAGAGGUAGUAACUGGCCUUUAUUUGACGGUAAUCAACCAGAAAGUCACGGCUAACUACGUGCCAGCAGCCGCGGUAAUACGUAGGUGGCAAGCGUUGUCCGGAUUUAUUGGGCGUAAAGCGAGCGCAGGCGGAAAAAUAAGUCUAAUGUGAAAGCCCUCGGCUUAACCGAGGAACUGCAUCGGAAACUGUUUUUCUUGAGUGCAGAAGAGGAGAGUGGAACUCCAUGUGUAGCGGUGGAAUGCGUAGAUAUAUGGAAGAACACCAGUGGCGAAGGCGGCUCUCUGGUCUGCAACUGACGCUGAGGCUCGAAAGCAUGGGUAGCGAACAGGAUUAGAUACCCUGGUAGUCCAUGCCGUAAACGAUGAGUGCUAAGUGUUGGGAGGUUUCCGCCUCUCAGUGCUGCAACCAACGCAUUAAGCACUCCGCCUGGGGAGUACGACCGCAAGGUUGAAACUCAAAGGAAUUGACGGGGGGCCCGCACAA